rnacentral:tRNA from 1 species
GCCGGAGUGGCCGAGCGGUUCUAGGCGCUAGCCUGGAACGCUACGGUCGCAGGUUCGAAUCCUGCCUCGGGCA